rnacentral:rRNA from 1 species
CCUACGGGCGACUGCAGUGAGGAAUAUUGGUCAAUGGACGAGAGUCUGAACCAGCCAAGUAGCGUGAAGGAUGACUGCCCUAUGGGUUGUAAACUUCUUUUAUAUGGGAAUAAAAUGUUCCACGUGUGGGAUUUUGUAUGUACCAUAUGAAUAAGGAUCGGCUAACUCCGUGCCAGCAGCCGCGGUAAUACGGAGGAUCCGAGCGUUAUCCGGAUUUAUUGGGUUUAAAGGGAGCGUAGGUGGAUUGUUAAGUCAGUUGUGAAAGUUUGCGGCUCAACCGUAAAAUGGCAGUUGAAACUGGCAGUCUUGAGUACAGGAGAGGUGGGCGGAAUUCGUGGUGUAGCGGUGAAAUGCUUAGAUAUCACGAAGAACUCCGAUUGCGAAGGCAGUUCACUGGACUGCAACUGACACUGAGGCUCGAAAGUGUGGGUAUCAAACAGGAUUAGAUACCCGAGUAGUC